rnacentral:tRNA from 1 species
GCUGAAGUAGCUCAGUUGGCAGAGCAACGGUAUCGUAAACCGUGGGUCGUGAGUUCGACUCUCACCUUCAGCU